rnacentral:rRNA from 1 species
UAAUACUAGCGGUCCAAGUCGCAGCCAUUUUUAUUGGGUCUAAAACAUCCGUAGCUUGUUUAGUAAGUUUCCUGUGAAAUUUUAUCUCUUAAAGAUAAAGCGUGCAGGAAGUACUGCCAAACUAGAGACUGGAAGACGUAAGAAGUACGACCAAAGUAGCGGUAAAAUGUUUUAAUCUUGGUUGGACUCACAAUAGCGAAGGCAUCUUACGAGGACAGUUCUGACAGUAAGGGAUGAAGGCUAGGGGCGCAAAACGGAUUAGAUACCCGUGUAGUCCUAGCAGUAAACACUGCACACUAAACAUUAGUACCUCCUCGAGAGGUAUUAGUGCUGCAGGGAAGCCGAAGAGUGUGCUACCUGGGAAGUAUAGUCGCAAGGCCG